rnacentral:rRNA from 1 species
UACGUAGGUUGCAAGCGUUGUCCGGAAUUACUGGGUGUAAAGGGCGUGUAGGCGGAGAUGCAAGUUGGGAGUGAAAUCCCGGGGCUCAACCCCGGAACUGCUUUCAAAACUGCAUCCCUUGAGUAUCGGAGAGACAAGCGGAAUUCCUAGUGUAGCGGUGAAAUGCGUAGAUAUUAGGAGGAACACCAGUGGCGAAGGCGGCUUGCUGGACGACAACUGACGCUGAGGCGCGAAAGCGUGGGGAGCAAACAGG